rnacentral:rRNA from 1 species
UACAGAGGGUGCAAGCGUUGUUCGGAAUUAUUGGGCGUAAAGCGCGUGUAGGCGGCUUUGCAAGUCGGGUGUGAAAGCCCUCAGCUCAACUGAGGAAGUGCGCCCGAAACUGCAGAGCUUGAGUACCGGAGAGGAUGGCGGAAUUCCCCAAGUAGAGGUGAAAUUCGUAGAUAUCAAGCGGAACACCGGUGGCGAAGGCGGCCUUCUGGACAAUGACUGACGUUAAAACACGAAAGCGUGGGGAGCAACAGG